UAAUGACUAAAAAUUCAUCGAUAAAAUAUUUAUUGGUAAAUUUUAUUAAAAUUAAAAAAAUUGAUUGUAAUUAUUGAUAGUUAAAAUUCAUCAGUAAUCACCGAUGACAACAUUAUGUUGAUAAUUAUUUGUUGGUAAAUAUUCAUUUGUAAUUAUCGACAAAUUUUGACUGUCAAUAAUUAUGUGUCACCAAAUUCUGUAAUUUGGUUAUUGUUUUUCUCCUUCUCUUCUUCUUUUCCCCCUUCUUCUUCAUCUUCUUUCUCUUUUUCUUCCUCUUCAUUUUCUCCUUUUUUUUCACCUCUUCUUUCUCUUCUCCUUCUCUUACUUCUCGCUCCACCACUAUCUCCUUUGUCGCUUCCAACUCCACCAUCAUCAUCAUUGCCUCUCCUCUAUUAUUGUCAUCUCCAUCACUACUAAUAAUUAAGAACUAAUCUUGUUGACUUUAGAAAACAAGGUAUUAAUAUGUAAGUGGAUUAAGUAAGUCUCAAGAAACACUAGACAUUAAGAUAACAAUGAUAUAUACAUAUGAAACUUCACUUUAUUAAGACUUCAAAAAAAGAAGAGAUAAUGGAUUCAAAUUAACAAAAGAAAGAACACAACAAGUAAAGAUAACAAGCUAGAAAAUGAAGUAAAAGAUAAAAAGAGAAGAGGAUGGAAGAAUAGAGGAAGGAAACACGCCACUUUACGGGGAUGAACUAACCCAAAGAUGAGUGAUGGUGUCACAACUUGAACCUUGGUUCAAGAUAAGAAUGAUGAAGUUCAAAAGCACUCAAAGGAACACUCUCUCAACUCUCACAAAUGGUUGAAAAACAAUUACUUUUCUAAUUCAAUGUUCAACUACUUACAAGAGGAGACAAGGUCCUCUUAAAUACAAAGAUGGGGACUACCUAGCAAAAUCGCAAUAUCUUCUAGCAACCCUAGUGAUGACGUAAAGAGGAGAAUAUUCUUCAAUUAUUGUAAAAUCAUAAAAAAGUGCAUUCUCUAUC
rnacentral:lncRNA from 1 species